UACGUAGGGCGCAAGCGUUAUCCGGAAUUAUUGGGCGUAAAGAGCGUGUAGGCGGUCAGGUAGGUCCGUUGUGAAAACUCGAGGCUCAACCUCGAGACGCCGAUGGAAACCAUCUGACUAGAGUCCGGAAGAGGAGAGUGGAAUUCCUGGUGUAGCGGUGAAAUGCGCAGAUAGUCAGGAAGAACGCCCGUGGCUAAGGCGGCUCUCUAGUACGGUACUGACGCUGAGACGCGAAAGCGUGGGGAGCGAACAGG
rnacentral:rRNA from 1 species